UGGGGAAUUUUUCGCAAUGGGGGAAACCCUGACGAAGCAACGCCGCGUGGAGGAUGAAGGCCUUCGGGUCGUAAACUCCUGUCGACCGGGACGAACGUAGUCUGGCCCAAUACGCCGGGCUAUCGACUGUACCGGUAAAGGAAGCUCCGGCUAACUCUGUGCCAGCAGCCGCGGUAAUACAGAGGGAGCAAGCGUUGUUCGGAAUUACUGGGCGUAAAGGGCGCGUAGGCGGUCUUGCAAGUCCUGUGUGAAAUCCCUCGGCUCAACUGAGGAACUGCACAGGAAACUGCUUGGCUUGAGUUCGGGAGAGGGAAGCGGAAUUCCGGGUGUAGCGGUGAAAUGCGUAGAUAUCCGGAGGAACACCGGUGGCGAAGGCGGCUUCCUGGACCGACACUGACGCUGAGGCGCGAAAGCUAGGGGAGCAAACGGGAUUAGAUACCCCGGUAGUCCUAGCUGUAAACGAUGAGCGCUGGGUGUAGGGGGUAUCAACCCCCCCUGUGCCGAAGCUAACGCAUUAAGCGCUCCGCCUGGGGAGUACGGUCGCAAGGCUGA
rnacentral:rRNA from 1 species